rnacentral:rRNA from 1 species
CGGUGGACGGGUGAGUAAUGCCUAGGAAUCUGCCUGGUAGUGGGGGACGAACGUUUCGAAAGGAACGCUAAUACCGCAUACGUCCUACGGGAGAAAGCAGGGACCUUCGGGCCUUGCGCUAUCAGAUGAGCCUAGGUCGGAUUAGCUAGUUGGUGAGGUAAUGGCUCACCAAGGCGACGAUCCGUAACUGGUCUGAGAGGAUGAUCAGUCACACUGGAACUGAGACACGGUCCAGACUCCUACGGGAGGCAGCAGCU